UGCAGAUGUCUUGUGGCAGGAAGUUUUGGCUGAGAUGCUUUCAAUGUAUGUCCUGCAGGACACCAUAUGGUAUGGAGAAACACUGCGGGGAAAGAUAUUGAUUACUUCACUGAAGGAGUAGACGGGUAAGAGCUUCCACUUCACACCUCUGUGACACACUCUCACACACACAUAUGAGAAAGUGGAUGUGGGAAUCAGACACAGACAUGCACACUUCUCACUGUUCCCACUGUCAAUCACAGGUUUCUAGGAGCUCAUCCCUGGUCCCUGCCGUUCCAGCUCGGAUAUGCUGGCCGCUCUAAUAAAGGCCUCAUUGUCUGCAUGGCAUGCAUAUAUGCAAAAAGCCCAGAAAGCCAGCUUUGUCCCAUAAGGGUCGCUCAGCGAGAGAGCUUUGUGCCUUUCCCCAUAGAAAUACUGAGAAAGAAAGAAAGAAAGAAAGAAAGAAAGAAAGAAAGAAAGAAAGAAAUGAAGAAAUGAAGAAAUGAAGGAAAAAUGAAAGAAAGAAGGAAGAAAUCAGUGUGAUAAAUACGGGCAUCCUGAUAAUAUGAAACUAUUUCCACUGCAGAUGCCUUGGUUGGAGCUGGCUGCACAUGUCUGGCCAUCAAGCUGCUAUUUCUGCCCGUGCCAGUCGCUCCAGGAUUGCAGCUAUGAGAAGAGAGCUUUGAAGAGCUGUCCAGGUAGUCUAUUUUUUCUUCUAGAGUCUAAAAUCAGGAAGCACCAUUCACUAACCAGAUGAGAUCCCCAGAUGUUUUUCUCACAAGGGAGGAAUGUGAAGACCUGUCAGGAUUUGGGACAGAUGUCAGAUGAGCUAUUUAAUCUGGAUGCACUUUUUAUACAGUGUGUCUGGAUCUGAUGUAAGGAAAAGCAUGACCUAACCCACAGUUAUAACUUAUGUAUGACUUGGAGAUGGUAAAGGUGUCUGAGCAUUAAUCUCCAAAAUUCCCUUUCCAUUUUAAAGCUUAAGCAUUGUGGCUAACACAGUCUUUUUAGUGGACAGUUUUCUUUAGAAUAUUACCAAAAAAUAAAAAAUCCAUAGUGGAAUUCUUCAUUUACUAAGUGGACAGGUUAAUCAACCAGAACAUUAGUAAGAUAAGAUGUAACAGUAGACAUAAAAGCAUUACAGGUAGCAUAUUCUUUCCUUAAUUUGUGCUUUCUAAGGAUUUCACCAUUUGAACAUUAUAAAUAUUAAGAAUAAUUCAUGGCAGCAUUUGACAACAUUCAAUACAUUUCUUUUUCCACAAUAUAUUAAUUGUGUGGUAUAUGUACAAUGUUGUGAAAACAGUUUGCCUUUUUUACAGUGGAGAAAAGCUAUUUAGCUAGUACAGCAUUUUAGAAACAGAAUACCAAACAUGGUGGUUGCAGUGUGAUGACCUUGGGCUGCUUUUUUGCUUCAUGACCUGGCAAACUUGAUAUUAUUCCAGGAACCAUUAAUUCUACUCUCUAACUUAAAUUUAUGAAGGAGAAUGUUGUCCAGUUGUGAUAUAACAAUUUACCACAGGACAAAAAUCUAAAGUCAGUCCACUUUUAAACUUCUCACACUAAAAGUUUUGGAGAGACUUAAUUAAAGUCUGUUCUGAAAUCCAAUCGAGAUGCUGUGGUCUGACUUUAAACAGGUCAUCCAUGCUUGAAAAUUCUCCACUUUGGCUAAAUUAAAACAAUUCUGGAAAGAAGAGUGGGCCUAAAUUCUUCCACUUAAAUGUAGAAUACUCAUUAUGACGUAUUCCUCAACAACAUUUAGUUACAACAUAAUUGACUUUCUCAGAGCAGUUACUUUGACAAAAUCAAUGCAAAUUUUGUUCUAGUGACAAAAAUCUGGCAUCAUAAAUUGUCUGUCUAUGCUGCCAGACAAUUGUUUUAAAUCAGUUGUCUGGCAGCAUGUAGAAGAAUAAAACAGCCACAGUGUGUCUGUUUCAUCAAAUCAGUUGAAUCUUCCUGAUUCAACUGAAAGAUUGUCUCCCAUCUUGCAAGCUAACUUGACAACCAAAACAUUAAUGAAUUUUACAUGUUGGUCAUGGUUCUCUCAUACUAACUCUCAUAUCUUUCCAGCUUGUACUUCAGAUCUUUUUAUCCUAACUACUGAGACUGUUUCUGUGCAACCUACAAACCUGUACACGGAUAAAUAAAUAAAUAAUCCCAUGCUCAGACACUUACUGCACACUAACAGAUUCCAGAAAAAAAACCCAAAACAAAUAAAUGUAGUGGAAAACAAACUCAUUUUCUCACCAUACUCUCCUUCCCACUCUGAGUUUAUGUUUUUGUUGCAGUUUCAGGAUAAUGGGGCAGUAUGUUUUGUAUUUACCUUUGGCAGUAUGGCUUAGCAAAUUCCAAAUGUUUCUUUUGAAGUAUGUGUGUGUGUUUGUGAGAAUGCCUCUAAUUGGACUCUGGGUUUAUUGUUCGUACAAGACUGUGAUGUUAGAGGCUUCAAUUGUUUGCCUCCCAGUUAGAAAAAUGCAGUAACCAUUGUUUUCUUUCAGUCAGUUUAUGCGCACCUGUUUUUAUUUCUCAUGUUGUGAGUCCUCAGAUCAGUUGACACAUUCAUAUUUUUAGGUAUCAGAUUCCAAAAUGCUACAUUUAUGGCACAUUUUAAUCCACUCUUUGAUAAAACAAUGUUUUUACUCUACAAACUAAAUAUAUGAUUUUGAACCUAUACUGUAAAGAUCAAGCAACUAACAAAGUGGCUUUUAAUGAUAGUACAUUACAGAUGCCCUGAUCCUUAAACACCCUUACAUUAAUAAUGCCCAUUUCCAAUACUCCUGUACACCAAUUGUUGACAUUUAUACCUUUGUACAUCUGCUUCUCUUCUUGUAUAUUUCAGUUGUCUGGGAAUUUUCAGGCCCCUUCAUUCCUUGUGACACAUCUACUUGAUGGCUAAUAAAUGAUUCUUAUCCUUAUUCAUUGAUAAGAGACAAUCAUUGGCAAUUAGCUCUGCUCCAUUUGCUUUGGAGUAGGACUAGCCUGUUGGCAGCUCCUGUUAUUGAGAUCAAUCAGUUAAAGUGUAGCACUAAAGCUUGGAGGGCAGUGUGCGUGUUUGUGUGUGGGUGUUAAACUCCCUGUGUGAUCUAGCCUGGAUGACUGCCCUCUUGAGAUCUUGGGCGAUUAGUGUGGAAAUUACUCUCAGAUUGCUGUGCAUUGUGCCCCAUAGACUGCAUGUGUUCCUGUGCAAAAGGCCAUCUCCCCUUGGAAUACAUAUAGGCAUGAGGCCCUUCAGCUGAGUCAAGACUAAAGGUUAAACCUGAGUAUUUUACCAGCUGAC